UACGAAGGGGGCGGGCGUGUUCGGAUUUACUGGGCGUAAAGGGCGUGCAGGCGGCUCAUUUUGUCAGGCGUGAAAGCCCCGGGCUUAACCUGGGAACUGCGUUUGAUACGGAUGGGCUAGAGUUCGGGAGAGGAGAGUGGAAUUCCCAGUGUAGAGGUGAAAUUCGUGAGAUAUUGGGAAGAACACCGGUGGCGAAGGCGGCUCUCGUGGACCGAUACUGACGCUGAGGCGCGAAAGCGUGGGGAGCAAACAGG
rnacentral:rRNA from 1 species